UGUUUUGAAACCUUUAAUCAC
rnacentral:piRNA from 1 species